AAUCAUCCCAUCCUGUUUUAUAACAAAUAAAGUCACUAUGUCUAGUGUUAAUACACACAAUACCAAAUUAAUUUUGAAUUAAAUUGCUCGUGCAAGACCUAGUAAGUUAAGUGCCAGAGCCAGCAGCUCUUCUGAAAUGGCAUCUACUCAAAGAUCACCAAAUCCUCUGACAGCAGACAAAGUGCAAUGCCAGGGUGACAGGCAGGGCCUGGGCAGAAAGCUUGAGCCACCCCAGCUUCAGUUUAUUGGCAGUGGAAAUUUCCAGAUCUGUAUGUACACUUUUAAUGAGAUGAGAUGAGUUAAGAGCACACACAUUUCUGAUUGAACUAACAGAUUACUGUUGCAGUUCUUACUUUACCUCUUCAACCUCAUUCCAUUUGUGUUUUCUGCACAGUCAGGUCCACCAUUUUUCUACAUUUGGUUGUGGGAUUAUAAACAGCUAACUAUUUUAAUUUAUUUCACUGCAUCAAGUCUUAUUUUGAUUAAACGUAGUGGUUUUGCAGAGUGCUUUCGAUCAGUGAAGAGCAACUAAGCCACUGGGAAGCCCAAAGUUAGAACCGAUUUUGCUUUGGGAGCAAGGUCCUUGCUGCGCAUCAGCUGUGGGGCCCUCUGAGGCUGCGGCCCUCCAAAAUGGCUGCGGCCUCCCUCCAACGGCUGCGGCCUGCUCCUCCUGCUGCCUCCCACCCACCCCAAAUCCCCCUCUAAAACCACCACGAUGUAACACUAAGUCAGAACAAACACAAGCGAAUGAGAGCAGCUGUGUCAGGACUCUGCAGCCCUGGUUUGCUGAGGGAGCGGAAGCAGGACGGUGGGGGCUGUGGGAACACACAGCGGCCCUCUCUGCCCAUCCCACCUUUUCCCCUUGGAUUCACAAUAUGCUGUGAAUUGCUUGAGAAGGAGUAAACUUCUUAGCGAUAGGAAACAGUUUUGCGGUCUUUCAAGGAAAAUGUUUGUCAGAAAGGCAAAAUGAAGGUAUUUUCAGGCGAAGCAGCUGGACAGAAAAGCUCCUCCGCGUGAUAAUGACUGUCAUUGAAUUCACUGGAAGCAGCAUGAGAGGAGCUCUCCUUGUUGCUUUGUUUUAGGGUACUCGGUAGUUUUGGUGUUUACAGCUGAUCCCCUCCAGAGGAUAAAAUCUCCAUGUGUUGCAUCAAAAAUGCUAAAAGUGUCAGAAGUUUCAAAAGAUUUCUGUACUUAAAAGGCAAACCCAAGCAGGCAAGCAUGGAAGUGACUCUCAUUUCAUGAUACUCGCAUACACAGAAGCUGUUCACAAUUUACUUAACUGACAAUAAGCCGUUACCAUUCCUCACGAGCUGCAUCAGGAUUCCCAUUACAGAGAACCCAACAAGCAGAGAGGAGCUCCCCUGUGCCCUCUGUGAGUUGUUUUCUCACCCACCUGCCUGUCUUGGUCUCCUGUACCACCAUGGCACCAGCAGUGCCCAUUCACAUCACAAUUCUUGCAAAAACCAAGAGGCCAUUGUUUCCCAGCAGGUUUUGGGCAGCUCAAAGAGCUUUUUUCGGCUGAGGCAGCAAUUAAAUAACUGCAGUUGAAGGCAUCUUGGCAUCAUAAAAAGCACUGCUGGUUGCAUUUUCUGCUUCAAGGAUUCAGUUUCCAAGAAAGGUGACAAACUAUGUGAAGCCACACACCUGACCGUGCCCAUGAAGAGCCUAGGAGUAAAAAAACUGCAUGUCAUCAGCAUUUCAACAGAAAUCUGUUUUACUGCUGCUUAAUGCUGUAUUGGAUCCACACGGCCCCCUGCAGAUAAGCCCAGAAAUGCUGCAUCACUUGCAGGGGGGCAUUUCUCAUAGGAGUUAAUGUUAAUCUCAUUAUAAAAUAGGUUGGGAAUUCACAAGCAUAAAUAUGUGGCAUAGGGCACCUGUAGCCAUUUUGCCUUUUCAAAUAAUUCAUUCUUUAAAUACUUAAAUGCAUAUGAGAUAUUAGAAGAUCUGUUGCGUUCCAAGAGAAAAAGAAGAGGUUAAUUCCCAGUCACCAGAGUUUAUGCACAUUGAUUAUGCACGAGGAGAUAUAUUUACUUCAAUGUCAUUCUUGAGAGAGAGACCUAGGGGAUGGCUGGGAAGCCCAUGUGGUUCUUUGGUCUCGUGCAGGUGCAGGAGGGCUGAGAGACGUCACAGUGCCCUCAGGUCCCUUGGCAGCACCAUGACACACACAGUGCUGAGCAGCACCACGAUGCUGACACAGAUUUCCCCAGGGAGAAAUGCAGAGGAAAAGGCAAUCCUAUCCCCUCCUGUGCCUUGUUCAGAGUGUAUUGAACUUGGUGAGAGGCACAUGAUAAGUGGUGAAAAUGAAACUCUGCUUUCCCCUGAAGCUGCUGUUGCAAUGUCAGUGCCCUUUGCACGGGGCUGCACUGUACCAGGGCAAUGCCUCUCUUCAUUAGGAAGUAAAACCAAUCAGCGAUUCGAUUGAUUUACUUUGCUCUUGUCCAAUAUUAGCACUUGGCAGGUUUCCUGGGACAGUGGGAACAUACGGAUGGAGCCCGGAAACACCGCCCAGGAUCCGGGACAUAAUUAGAGCAGAACAAAACGCUGCAUUUCACAGCUAGUGGGGGAAGCCUCUAUGUGAGAUCAGGGAAAGCUGCAGACCGGGAGCUCAGCAUCCACAGAGCAGGGGGAUCUGAGUAUGCACAGCUCUCAGGAGGCAGGGAAGCUCAUUGACUCGUACCAUAGGGCCAGCUGCCACGGUCAGGAACUGCCCAUGCACUUCCCAGCAGAUAUGAGUGUGAUACAAGGAAAUCCAGUUUCUCCAUUCAAAUGACUUUUUCACUGGUAAAUUCUAUUUUCCAUCAGUUUGCUUGGUUUUCCUAGGCUGAUUUCAUUGUUAGCAUGGAAAAUAUCCCGGAUCAGCCCCGCAUCCAUCCCUAUGGCAGCGUGUACCUGCAGCACACGGAGCAUGCAGCAGGGCUGUGCUGUGUGGGAGCCCGCAGCCCGGCACUGAAUAUGCUCAUUGUGGAAAAACUUGUUCUGCUGCCUCAUUGUAUUAUCCCAAAUGUUUUAGCUGACUUCAACUGCUCCGAUGACUCACUCACACAGAGGCAACUGGCCUCCCAGAAUAAAACGCUCUUGUAGCAGUUUUUUUUCCCCACAUAAAAGGGAAGAUUUGCAACAGGAUUCUGCUUUUUAAUUUAUAUAAUGCACGUUCAGUGUGAUCUGCAAAGCAUUAUCCAGAAGACCUGAGUUUAUACAUGAGCUAGCAAGGAUGGUCUACCACUGAAGCAGUCAAGAGGAGGAGGCCACACACAUUAAUAGGCCAUCUAAAUUUGGAUGAGAUAUAACUGCAUCUCCUGAGACAGUAUUAUCUCUGUACAGUUUCUAUGGUUGCUAGUUAGGGUCAUUCUACUCCUCCUCACAAAGUCUGCCUCUGUGAAAAAUAAUCUUUUCUUUUAAUGAAAUAUUAGUGACACAUUCAUAAAAGUAUUUGACACAAGGACUGACACUGCUCAAGUCAUGGGACUAAAUUAACCGGAUGCAUCCAAACCGUGAGAAUUCAGAAAGUGAUGAAGAAAUGCUGUGCAUUUAUUUCUAUUUCACCUAUUGAAGCGAGUCUGCCUGGAUUUGGCCCUGGAUCCCCUUCCUGAGGAUGCACUUCUGCAUCGGGGUGAGUCCAUGCCCUAUAGCAAGCCAAAGCCCCAUUCCUAUGAAUGAGGAGACUGACUUCCAACCUCAUCAGCAGACUGUGCUGACCACUGUUCCAUUUGUCCCUAACGCUGCACCCUCUCUGCUGGGGCACGUAAGUUAAGAAAAGAGGUGUUGUUAUUGUAAAUCAAAGUAAUUUGUAAGAAAAGUCGAUGAAUACAGCUCUGGGUUUGUAGGAACACAGCUGGCCUAAAAUCAUACAAGAGUGUACAGAACUAGUUAUUGAAGCUUUGUUCGCAUGAGGUUCUUUUGUUGAAGAAUCAUUUUACAAAAUGUACUCUGUGUAGGAAGUUGUUUUUUACUCAGGUGUAUAUCAUAUUUUCUAGCAGCAGGGACACUGCACCUACUCUAUGCACACUCAUCAGUCAUGUUAAGGAAAAACGAUGCUGCUUUUUUUCAGCAAAACUUCUCUAAAACUGCAGAGAGACUCUCUGGAAGAUAUUCAAACGUUACUGAAAAACAGAGUUCCAAGGCUGAAAAACACAGCCACUUCCUUUGCCAUUAGAUACCUCUUUUCUGAGUGCCUGCCACGGUGCAAAAGAAGGUUGUUUCUUUGAAACAGGAGCGGUGAGACACCUGAUAGCCGUGGGACGGAGCAGUGACCCUGUCGAGCAGCGGGUGAUGCAGGACCAGCCGUGCUGCUGCAGUGAGUGCUGGAGACGUGGCUUCUGCCCAGCCGAAGCCCUCCGUGGAGCUCUGGGUGCUGCAGGCUUGAGAACUUCAUCUCACAACCUUACAUUACGGGAAGAGCAGCUCCAAGCAACUCCCAGCAUCAGGAUGGAAAGCAAGGAUGGGCCAGUUCCCUCGGCAGCUGCCCUCACACACGGAGCCUUGGGGAUGCUCUAGGAGUGGUCUCCAAGCAAUGUUGAAGGUAUGCGUGAGGAACACAGGGUCUGAGCAUCUUGUGUGGAACCUGGAGAGGGCCAGAUGGUGAGAACCCAUUUUGUGGAAAGUAACUGAAAAAGGAAAACUAAAACCAAAAUGUUUCGUCUGCACCUGAUAGGCACCAAAGAACAUCAAGACAAGUAGAAGACAGAUAAGAUGCUCCAUAAGAACUGAAGAACAGAACAACGUUUGACUGUCUUCACUGCCAAAGAUAAGCUGACAGAGCGGCACGCUAAAGAUGUACUGCUGACAUCCAGCCUAAAAUUACCACAGGGAGCAGGAAAGAAAUCGAUGACCAGGACCCGGAUCUGCUGGUCUUGCCGUCUGUCCCAGAGCUGUGGAGCUGUUUGCAUGGUGUAUGUAGCAAGGUGAAGGUUAUUCUCCAGAUCCCAAGCAGCCACUUAGUUGGAGGGUGGGGUGUGGUGUUUUCCUCUGACCUUCAUGAAUCACUGGAAAUUGUAAAUAGGGGAGAGGAGGGGAGCUUUAGUCCAGUUCUUCAGUCAGCAUUUUAUACAAUAAGCAAAAUCAGGACGGUGCCCAAUCUACAUGGGGGUUUGGAUGGGUGGGCUGUAAAAACCCCACUGAAAGGUCAAGUACAACAUAAAGAGCCAAGACCAACUGGCAAGAACGUACCGACUUCCACAGAGAGCAUCCCUUAACUCUUCACACUGCUUUGGUGACUGCAGAACACCUAUGAUAGCUUCACAGCCAUUGCUCGGCAGAGAUAUUGCACUUUAUGCAAAACUGACAAUGUAAUACUUGGGGAAAAUUUUUACAGCCAUUUGCUCUGCUCCUGAUAAAGGUGGAUCUACUGGCUUGUAUCUCAUCUGCUUAAUUAGUAGUAUCCUGCUCCA